UCUCUCAGUACGGUCGGAAAUCGUACGUAGAGUGUAAAGGCAAAAGAGAGCUUGAUUGCAAGACAUACAGGUCGAGCAAGGAUGAAAAUCGGACUUAGUGAUCCGGUGGUUCUGCGUGGAAGGGCCAUCGCUCAACGGAUAAAAGCUACCCUGGGGAUAACAGGCUUAUCUCCCCCAAGAGUCCACAUCGACGGGGAGGUUUGGCACCUCGAUGUCGGCUCAUCACAUCCUGGGGCUGUAGUAGGUCCCAAGGGUUGGGCUGUUCGCCCAUUAAAGUGGUACGCGAGCUGGGUUCAGAACGUCGUGAGACAGUUCGGUCCCUAUCCGUCGCAGGCGUAGGAAAUUUGAGAAGACCUGUCCUUAGUACGAGAGGACCGGGAUGGACG
rnacentral:rRNA from 1 species